UAGGGAAUAUUGCGCAAUGGGCGAAAGCCUGACGCAGCAACGCCGCGUGAAGGAUGAAGGCCUUCGGGUCGUAAACUUCUGUCAAAUGGGAAGAAGGUUUGUAGGUUAAGAGCUAGUGAACUUGACGGUACCAUCAGAGGAAGUCCCGGCUAACUCCGUGCCAGCAGCCGCGGUAAUACGGAGGGUGCGAGCGUUAAUCGGAAUUACUGGGCGUAAAGCGCGCGUAGGCGGUUGCUUAAGUCGGAUGUGAAAGCCCCGGGCUCAACCUGGGAACUGCAUUCGAUACUGGGCGACUAGAGUACGAGAGAGGGAGGUAGAAUUCCACGUGUAGCGGUGAAAUGCGUAGAUAUGUGGAGGAAUACCGGUGGCGAAGGCGGCCUCCUGGCUCGAUACUGACGCUGAGGAGCG
rnacentral:rRNA from 1 species